rnacentral:rRNA from 1 species
GACGCUGGCGGUAUGCCUAACACAUGCAAGUCGUACGAGUAGUUUUUAACUCUAGUGGCGGACGGGUGAGUAACACGUGAGUAAUUUGCCUUUAGGAGGGGGAUAACAAUUGGAAACGAAUGCUAAUACCCCAUAUGCUUUUGAGUGAAAUGGAUUUUAUCCGCCUAGAGAGAAGCUCGCGGCUGAUUAGCUUGUUGGUAAGGUAAGAGCUUACCAAGGCGACGAUCAGUAUCUGGUUUGAGAGGACGAUCAGACACACUGGAACUGAGACACGGUCCAGACUCCUACGGGAGGCAGCAGUGGGGAAUUUUCCGCAAUGGGCGAAAGCCUGACGGAGCAAUACCGCGUGAGGGAAGAAUGCCUAUGGGUUGUAAACCUCUUUUUUCAGGGAGGAACAAAAUGACGUGUACCUGAAGAAUAAGCAUCGGCUAACUCCGUG